AACGAACGCUGGCGGCAGGCUUAACACAUGCAAGUCGAACGCCCCGCCAGUGGGAGGGUGGACUGGCGGGUAACGCGUGGGAAUCUACCGAUCCCUACGUAAUAACGCAUGUAAACGUGUGGUAAUACCUUGUGCGCCCUACGGUGGUAAGGUUUACGUGGGAUGGAUGAGCCCGGGUUGGCUUAGCUAGUUGGUGGGGUGAAGGCGUACCAAGGCGACGAUCCAUAGCUGGUAUGAGAGGAUGAUCAGCCACACUGGCACUGGGACACGGCCCAAACUCCUACGGGAGGCAGCAGUGGGUAAUCUUGGACAAUGGGCGCAAGCCUGAUCCAGCCAUGCCGCGUGAGUGAUGAAGGCCUUAGGGUUGUACAGCUCUUUCACCGGAGAAGAUAAUGACGGUAUCCGGAGAAGAAGCCCCGGCUAACUUCGUG
rnacentral:rRNA from 1 species